AUUGAACGCUGGCGGCAGGCCUAACACAUGCAAGUCGAACGGAAACGAUGAAGAGCUUGCUCUUCAGGCGUCGAGUGGCGGACGGGUGAGUAAUGACUGGGGAACUGCCCGAUGGAGGGGGAUAACUACUGGAAACGGUAGCUAAUACCGCAUAAUGUCUUCGGACCAAAGUGGGGGACCUUCGGGCCUCACACCAUCGGAUGUACCCAGUUGGGAUUAGCUAGUAGGUGAGGUAAUGGCUCACCUAGGCGACGAUCCCUAGCUGGUCUGAGAGGAUGACCAGCCACACUGGGACUGAGACACGGCCCAGACUCCUACGGGAGGCAGCAGUGGGGGAUAUUGCACAAUGGAGGAAACUCUGAUGCAGCGACGUCGCGUGAGUGAUUGACGGUCUUCGGAUUGUAAAAGCUCUGUCAACGGGGACGAUAAUGACGGUACCCGUGGAGGAAGCC
rnacentral:rRNA from 1 species